rnacentral:rRNA from 1 species
UACGGGGGGGGCAAGCGUUGUUCGGAAUUACUGGGCGUAAAGGGCUCGUAGGCGGCCAACUAAGUCAUACGUGAAAUCCCCCGGCUUAACCGGGGAACUGCGUCUGAUACUGGAUGGCUUGAGUUCGGGAGAGGGAUGCGGAAUUCCAGGUGUAGCGGUGGAAUGCGCAGAUAUCAGGAGGAACACCAAUGGCGAAGGCAGCUCUCUGGUACGUGACUGACGCUGAGACGCGAAAGCGUGGGGAGCAAACAGG